rnacentral:rRNA from 1 species
GUCUAUGGCCACACCACCCUGAGUGUGCCUGACCUCAUCUUGUCUCACAAGCUAAGCAGUGCCAAGUCUGGUUAGUACUUGGAUGGGAAAUGUCUAGUUUCUGGUUAGUGAAAUUAUUCUGUCACUGACA